CCUACGGGGGGCAGCAGUGGGGGAUAUUGCACAAUGGGGGAAACCCUGAUGCAGCGACGCCGCGUGAGUGAAGAAGGAUUUCGGUAUGUAAAGCUCCAUCAGCAGGGAAGAAAAUGACAGUACCUGACCAAGAAGCCCCGGCUAACUACGUGCCAGCAGCCGCGGUAAUACGUAGGGGGCAAGCGUUAUUCGGAUUUACUGGGUGUAAAGGGAGCGUAGACGGGUUUGUAAGUCUGGAGUGAAAGCCCGUGGCUCAACCCCAGGACUGCUUUGGAAACUGUGUAACUGGAGUACGGGAGGGGCAGGCGGAAUUCCUGGUGUAGCGGUGAAAUGCGUAGAUAUCAGGAGGAACACCGACUGCGAAGGCGGCCUGCUGGACUGAAACUGACGUUGAGGCUCGAAAGCGUGGGGAGCAAACAGGAUUAGAUACCCGAGUAGUC
rnacentral:rRNA from 1 species